UGGGAUCCUAGAAGGGGAACCUUACUACCCAGUGAAGAGGGUGAUCCGCUGCAAAAUACAGAAGGGGAUCCAAAUGAAGUUGGUGGAAUGGGAGCCCUGUUCACUCUGUGGGAAAACUUGGCCGCCACAGUGGGUGACAGAGGAGAACACCACAAAUUAAGGAAAUGUUCAAUCCCAUUGUUUUGUUCCAUAAGCUAUGUGUAUGUUGUUAUACAGUAUAUUAAAACAAAUUCAAAAGCC